CAACCUACGGGGGGCAGCAGUGGGGAAUAUUGGGCAAUGGGCGCAAGCCUGACCCAGCAACGCCGCGUGAAGGAAGAAGGCUUUCGGGUUGUAAACUUCUUUUCUGAGGGACGAAGAAAGUGACGGUACCUCAGGAAUAAGCCACGGCUAACUACGUGCCAGCAGCCGCGGUAAUACGUAGGUGGCAAGCGUUAUCCGGAUUUAUUGGGUGUAAAGGGCGUGUAGGCGGGAAUGCAAGUCAGAUGUGAAAACUAUGGGCUCAACCCAUAGGCUGCAUUUGAAACUGUAUUUCUU
rnacentral:rRNA from 1 species